AAUGUAAAAGCCACACCCCCAUUGCUGGAUUUGAAAAGUGGAUACGCCUGAAUUUGUUAAAUCCACAUCUCUGAGCUACUUGCAUUUCUACCUUGGCUAUUUGUUUGGCAGCAGGCAGUUGACAUAUUGAACUACAGCUUCAAAUGUUUUCCGGCUUUUUUUGGCUCUAGUUUUUUAUGCAGGCAUUUACUUUACCAAGGCAGAUGGAUUGGAUCUCACGAAGCUGCAAGUAACUGACUUACUGAGCAUCCCUGAGAGAUUCUCUUAACCUGUCUGCAUGCCAAAUGUAUGAAUACAUUUCACUGGUAAAAAGCAGCGCCAUGUUACACUGGACAUUCAUUUCAAAUAAUCAGCAGAAAAUGGACGAAUAAACAAGCCUUUUUGAUGACCCAGUGAUGAAUACACUUCCGUAUGUAUGACAACCGCUACCUUCCUCCUGUCCUGUUCUGAUGACAUCAUUUCCAAGUCCACACUACUAUAUCAUCUCUGGCACUUCCUGGAUUUUCCCAUCAUGCCCAUUGUACAUAAUUUCCUGUCCGUCCCUUAUAUAAAUCUGUCUAUUUCACCAA